GAUGGACGCUGGCGGCGUGCCUAAUACAUGCAAGUCGAGCGAACAGACGAGGAGCUUGCUCCUCUGACGUUAGCGGCGGACGGGUGAGUAACACGUGGAUAACCUACCUAUAAGACUGGGAUAACUUCGGGAAACCGGAGCUAAUACCGGAUAAUAUAUUGAACCGCAUGGUUCAAUAGUGAAAGACGGUUUUGCUGUCACUUAUAGAUGGAUCCGCGCCGCAUUAGCUAGUUGGUAAGGUAACGGCUUACCAAGGCAACGAUGCGUAGCCGACCUGAGAGGGUGAUCGGCCACACUGGAACUGAGACACGGUCCAGACUCCUACGGGAGGCAGCAGUAGGGAAUCUUCCGCAAUGGGCGAAAGCCUGACGGAGCAACGCCGCGUGAGUGAUGAAGGUCUUCGGAUCGUAAAACUCUGUUAUUAGGGAAGAACAAAUGUGUAAGUAACUAUGCACGUCUUGACGGUAACUAAUCAGAAAGCCACGGCUAACUACGUG
rnacentral:rRNA from 1 species